UAGCAAACUAGAUCACAUGCCCAGCAUAAUGUUGCUGGAGUGAGGGGAACAUGUUUGCAACAGUAAAUUGUAUCUGUGGUUACAGGCAGAAUUCCAACUAGCCAAUUCAAUU